rnacentral:rRNA from 1 species
GACGGGGGGGGCAAGUGUUCUUCGGAAUGACUGGGCGUAAAGGGCACGUAGGCGGUGAAUCGGGUUGAAAGUGAAAGUCGCCAAAAACUGGCGGAAUGCUCUCGAAACCAAUUCACUUGGGUGAGACAGAGGAGAGUGGAAUUUCGUGUGUAGGGGUGAAAUCCGCAAAUCUACGAAGGAAGGCCAAAAGCAAAGGCAGCUCUCUGGGUCCCUACCGACACUGGGGUGCGAAAGCAUGGGGAGCGAACAGG